CUGAGUUUUGCAUGUACAGCAUACCAUAUGUCCGGACAAACAUGUCGUUUAAGGAUCUUUCUGCAUUCUCCAAAAGCUCUCGGAAAAAUUCUGCGGGGAAAACAAGGAAGUGUUAAGUGAAAUAUUAGUAAGAGUCUUCUGAAAGCAUCACAAGGUUCAAAAAAGCACAGAACAUCACUUUGCUUGCAGAGGUAAUUUUGAAGUACCACAGAUAAACACCAACUACAGUUUCAUCCUAGUCUCAUCCCGAAGGACAGAGAAACAGUUAUUGCUUACAGUUUCAGACCAGACUUUAAAUUUGUUCCUUAUCUUGUAAGCCAUAAUGAUGUCAUAAUCAAAAACAUGCAGGCACUUAUUUUCCAUUUGAAACCUACAGAGCUUCCUACCAUUCCACCAGCAUAUACGGUCAUAAAAAAGAUAUAAUUCAGACACUAAAAUCAUCCAGCUUUCUGUGCAAGUCUCUGCUGGCUUCAGCAUCGCCGGAUUCCCAAGCAGGGUGAGAACAACUGAAAUGCUUCCACUGAUCUACCACAUAAAGCCACAUGCUUUGGUGAAUAUAUGCAGUUGCUCUCCUUUCACUCCUUUCUCUCACCCCACCCUAAAGAUUUAACACUACAUAUUGCCCAGGGGAAAAGCACCGUGGUGUUGAUUUAUUCACCAUCAGUGUUCUUACACGAUAUUCUGAUGAUACCCAACUGUACCUCCUCUGUUAGAAGUCUCUUUGCUAGUGCUAUCCUUCAACAUAUCCUCGCACCAAGCCGUGUGCCAAACUGGUUGUCUCAUCAAGACUCAUCCUGUGUUACCACAACUUUUCUCUAUUAAUUAAAGUCAGCAACGAAAUGUAGAUCCAUGACUUUCUUGUUUAGAACUAUACUUCACUGUGUUGGGGGUAUUCCGUCACAGGCAUACAAAAUCCAGGGAUUUAAGUUCUUUCUGUUAUUUUA